UACAGAGGGGGCAAGCGUUGUUCGGAAUUACUGGGCGUAAAGGGCGCGUAGGCGGCCUUCUAAGUCGGACGUGAAAUCCCUCGGCUUAACCGGGGAACUGCGUCCGAUACUGGUUGGCUUGAGUUUGGGAGAGGGAUGCGGAAUUCCAGGUGUAGCGGUGAAAUGCGUAGAUAUCUGGAGGAACACCGGUGGCGAAGGCGGCAUCCUGGACCAAUACUGACGCUGAGGAGCGAAAGCCAGGGGAGCAAACGGG
rnacentral:rRNA from 1 species